rnacentral:rRNA from 1 species
UACGUAGGGGGCGAGCGUUGUUCGGAAUCAUUGGGCGUAAAGGGUGCGUAGGCGGCGUGGUAAGUGUGUCUGUCAAGAUCAAGGCUCAACCUUGGGGAAUGGACGCAGACUGCUGCGCUAGAGUGUGUUAGGGGCAAGUGGAAUUCCUGGUGUAGCAGUGAAAUGUAUAGAGAUCAGGAGGAACACCGGUGGCGAAGGCGACUUGCUGGGACAGAACUGACGCUGAAGCACGAAAGCUAGGGUAGCAAACGGG